CACGUAGGGGGCGAGCGUUAUCCGGAUUCAUUGGGCGUAAAGCGCGCGCAGGCGGGCCGUCAAGCGGGACCUCUAAUCCCGGGGCUCAACCCCGGGCCGGGUCCCGAACUGGCGGCCUCGGGUUCGGUAGGGGAGAGCGGAAUACCCGGUGUAGCGGUGGAAUGCGCAGAUAUCGGGUAGAACACCGAUGGCGAAGGCAGCUCUCUGGGCCGCAACCGACGCUGAGGCGCGAAAGCUAGGGGAGC
rnacentral:rRNA from 1 species